GCUGGGUGUGGUGGCAGAUGCCUGUAAUUCCAGUUACUUGAGAGGCUGAGGCAGGAGAAUUUCAAGUUUGAGGCCUGUCUCAGCAACUUAGUGAGAUUCUGUCUCAA
rnacentral:sRNA from 1 species